ensembl:snoRNA
GGUCUCCUGGUGCUUACCACAGUCUGUGUUCCUACACUGACUGUAUGGAAAGGAGGCAGAGUAAAGCUAACCCUACACACCUCAGUCCAGGCCCUGUGCCUAGUCUGUAUUGUGAGUGAGAAGACAUAG